UUGACCUCGAAUCAGGUAGGAAUACCCGCUGAACUUAAGCAUAUCAAUAAGCGGAGGAAAAGAAACCAACCGGGAUUACCUCAGUAACGGCGAGUGAAGCGGUAACAGCUCAAAUUUGAAAUCUGGCUCUUCCGGAGUCCGAGUUGUAAUUUGUAGAAGAUGCUUUGGGUUGUGGGUUCGGCCUAAGUUCCUUGGAACAGGACGUCAUAGAGGGUGAGAAUCCCGUAUGUGGCCGAGGCCCGCGCCUAUGUAAAGCUCUUUCAACGAGUCGAGUUGUUUGGGAAUGCAGCUCAAAAUGGGUGGUAAAUUUCAUCUAAAGCUAAAUAUGGGCCAGAGACCGAUAGCGCACAAGUAGAGUGAUCGAAAGAUGAAAAGCACUUUGGAAAGAGAGUUAAACAGUACGUGAAAUUGUUGAAAGGGAAGCGCUUGCAACCAGACUUGGGCGCUGUCGAUCACCCCGAGUUCUCUCGAGUGCACUCGACAGCGCACAGGCCAGCAUCGGUUCGGGUGGCUGGAUAAAGGCCGUAGGAACGUGGCUCCCUUCGGGGAGUGUUAUAGCCUACGGUGCCAUGCAGCCCAGCCGGACCGAGGACCGCGCCUUCGGGCUAGGAUGCUGGCGUAAUGGUUGUAAGCGACCCGUCUUGAAACACGGACCAAGGAGUCUAACAUCUAUGCGAGUGUUUGGGUGGUAAACCCAUACGCGGAAUGAAAGUGAACGUAGGUGA
rnacentral:rRNA from 2 species